rnacentral:rRNA from 1 species
CAGUCGCCGCGGUAAUACGAAGGGCGCUAGCGUUGUUCGGAAUUACUGGGCGUAAAGCGCACGUAGGCGGAUAUUUAAGUCAGUGGUGAAAUCCCGCAGCUCAACUGCGGAACUGCCUUUGAUACUGGGUAUCUUGAGUAUGGAAGAGGUUAGUGGAAUUGCGAGUGUAGAGGUGAAAUUCGUAGAUAUUCGCAGGAACACCAGUGGCGAAGGCGGCUAACUGGUCCAUAACUGACGCUGAGGUGCGAAAGCGUGGGGAGCAAACAGGAUUAGAUACCCGGGUAGUCCCUGUCUCUUAUAC